AUUGAACGCUGGCGGCAGGCCUCACACAUGCAAGUCGAAAGAGUGGCGGACGGGUGAGUAAUGUAUGGGACACUGCCUGAUGGAGGUGGAUAACUCCUGGAAAAUGUCACUAAUACCGCAUACCCUCAGGUGUGCCCAGAUGGGAUUAUAUAGGAGGUGGGGUAACGGCUCACCUAGGCGACGACCCCUAGCUGGUCUGAUAGGAUGACCAGCCACACGGGCAAUGAGACACGGUGCAGACUCCUACGGGAGGCAGCAGUGGGGUAUAUUGCACAAUGGGCGCGAGCCUGAUACAUCCAUGCCGCGGGUAUGAAGAAGUCCUUCUGGUUGUAAAGGACGUUCAGCGGGGAGGCUUUACCCGGAGAAGAAGCACCGGCUAACUCCGUGCCAGCAGCCGCGGUAAUUC
rnacentral:rRNA from 1 species